GAUGAACGCUAGCUACAGGCUUAACACAUGCAAGUCGAGGGGCAGCAUUUUCAGUUUUGCUUGCAAACUGGAGAUGGCGACCGGCGCGACGGGUGAGUAACACGUAUCCAACCUGCCGAUAACGUCGGGGAUAGCCUUUACGAAAGAAAGAUUAAUACCCGAUGGUAUAAUUAGACCGCAUGGUCUUGUUAAUUAAAGUAAUUUCGGUUAUCGAGUGGGGAUGUCGUUCCAUUAGGCUAGUUGGUGAGGUAACGGCUCACCUAAACCUUCGAUGGAUAGGGGGUUCUGAGAGG
rnacentral:rRNA from 1 species